rnacentral:rRNA from 1 species
GAUGAACGCUAGCGACAGGCCUAACACAUGCAAGUCGAGGGGCAACAGGGAACAAGCUUGCUUGUUCUGCUGGCGACCGGCGCACGGGUGAGUAACACGUAUGCAACCUGCCCGUCACAGGGGGAUAACCGGGGGAAACCCCGCCUAAUACCCCAUAUUAUAUAGUUAUUGCAUGAUGAUUAUAUGAAAACCUUGGUGGUGACGGAUGGGCAUGCGGUGCAUUAGCUAGUUGGUGAGGUAACGGCUCACCAAGGCGACGAUGCAUAGGGGUUCUGAGAGGAAGGUCCCCACACUGGUACUGAGACACGGUCCAGACUCCUACGGAGGCAGCAGUGAGGAAUA